rnacentral:tRNA from 1 species
GCCUGGUUGGCUCAUUUGGUUGAGCAUCUGACUUCGGUUCACGUCAUGAUCUCAUGAUCUCACAGGUCAUGAGUUCGAGCCCCACAUCAGGCC